CUUGUUGCCUGGCGGGAAACGUGAAAGAACGCUUCCGUUUGGCGGUUAGCCAACAUCAAAGCCCUCCACAAACAAAAGGAAAGUCGUCCAGGCCCAAGAUUUUGUAAUCCUGUUGAUCCUUUGAUUAAUUUAUCCUAAACACUUGAAAGUAAUAUAAACGGAAGCUUUUCAUACAAGUAAAAAACCACCGAACAACCAUCAACAUGAACAUCAACAACAACAGCAGCAACAGCAACAAAACAAAAACAACAACAUCAGCAAAGAGAAUAACAAUUGCGGUUUUGCUUUUCCAUCCUGGCACGUAGCUAAAAAAUUGUUUGGACUACCGAAACAGUAAAUUGACAAUCAGUACACAAAAGGGCUGUCUAUUCGAGUCAGAACACGGAAAAGGAAUAAAUGGAAAUGCGAUUAAGUUAUAGACAUACCAUCUUAAUAUGGAAAUCCUCGAGAAAUAUAUAUAACCAACUUAUAAAGACGACAUUAAAUUAAUAACAAAUUUGAAUAACUUUUCAAUCAUUUACAGCUGCUGUCUAAAUGGAAAAUAAAAGUGCAUUCAAAAUUUCGAAAGAAAGAAA